UGGGGAAUAUUGCGCAAUGGGGGGAACCCUGACGCAGCCAUGCCGCGUGAAUGAAGAAGGCCUUAGGGUUGUAAAGUUCUUUCGGUAUUGAGGAAGGUUGAUGUGUCAAUAGCACAUCAAAUUGACGUUAAAUACAGAAGAAGCACCGGCUAACUCCGUGCCAGCAGCCGCGGUAAUACGGAGGGUGCGAGCGUUAAUCGGAAUAACUGGGCGUAAAGGGCACGCAGGCGGUUAUUUAAGUGAGGUGUGAAAGCCCCGGGCUUAACCUGGGAAUUGCAUUUCAGACUGGGUAACUAGAGUACUUUAGGGAGGGGUAGAAUUCCACGUGUAGCGGUGAAAUGCGUAGAGAUGUGGAGGAAUACCGAAGGCGAAGGCAGCCCCUUGGGAAUGUACUGACGCUCAUGUGCGAAAGCGUGGGGAGCAAACAGGAUUAGAUACCCUGGUAGUCCACGCUGUAAACGCUGUCGAUUUGGGGGUUGGGGUUUAACUCUGGCGCCCGUAGCUAACGUGAUAAAUCGACCGCCUGGGGAGUACGGCCGCAAGGUUA
rnacentral:rRNA from 1 species